UAGCAUAAUAAUUAGUUUUUUAAUUAAGAACUGGUAUGAAUGGUCCUACGAAAAAGAAACUGUCUCAAUUUGAUUUAAUUAGAAUUUUAUUUUUAAGUUAAAAAGCUUAAAUAAAUUUAAAAGACGAGAAGACCCUAUAGAGUUUUAUAUUAUUUUUUUAAUAGCAAAAUUUAAGAAUUUUAUAUUUGAUUUAAUAAAAUAGUAUUUGGUUGGGGCGAUUGAAAAAUUUAAUAAACUUUUUUUUAUUAUUAUACAUUAAUUUAUGAGUUAUUGAGCCAUUAUUAUAUGAUUAGAAGAUUAAAUUACCUUAGGGAUAACAGCGUA
rnacentral:rRNA from 1 species